rnacentral:lncRNA from 1 species
GCCCUUUCUAUGGCAGAAUGUCUCCUAAGAAAAGUGGAGGGAAAAGGGAGAUCCUGGCAGACACGAAGAGUAGCAAAGGCAGGCUGAGGGAGCAGGAGGUCGCAUGGUCCCCAGUGUCUCCCACAGGCUCUUACUAAUUCCAAGGGUUGGGCAGCUUCCCCAGGAAGCGCUGCACCAAGUGGUGACGUGGCCCUCCCAUUGGCGGGUCUGAUGGGCCGCCCUGGGAGGGCCUGUCUUCACCGAGUCUCUGCCCCAGGGGCUCCCAACCUAAGUGUGGCAGGCCAGGGGUGGUGCUGUGCGCCAAGACUGUGGUGAGCCGCUUCUGCCGUUUCUGCAGAUUAUGGUCGCCAUUACAAGAUGGCGCUGGCUCCGCUGUGGUCUGUGACAAACAAUUUCUUAUCUGGGAAAGUUGGCACAUGAUUUUUCACCACCCUGUGAGAAAGUUCCACGCGGCAGCUUUGCAUUGGGGCUUGGGAUGCUUUAUUAAGGCUGGGAGGGGCACCCGAGAGAAAGAAGAAGAAAUAUCCAGGGACCUGAAUAAAACUGUUGAGAGAAGAUUCUCGAAUUGCGUCUUCCUUGCGGGCAAGGGGGUCGCGACACAAGACCAGCCCACACGCCACACGAGCGACAAGGUCGAGAGACAGGAGGGCUAGGUCAGGUUCCAGAGAGGAGACUAAAGAGGCCACUCCUGUGCCAUGUGGCCUUGGAUCAGCCUGCGUGGGAGGUGAGCAGCUGUGAGGGACAUGGCUGGCUCGUGGGGUCCCUCGUCAGGUCUCUGGUGCUGUGGACACUCCUGCCUCUUUGGGGUGAAGUGGUAUAUUUCUUACACUCAAGAAGUUCAGAAAAAAACAUGUAGGUACAAAUAGU